GCCGAACAAAGUGAUUUUGAAUAAUGAACAGGGCCGGCUUUAGGCCCAUUCCACCGAUUCCCCUGAAUUGGGCCCCGCCCCUAAGAGGGCCCCGCGCAGCGUCCCUGCCUGAAGCAAAGCUCUGUGGCUCUCCCGGAAGCAGCAGCUGUUGCGGGGGGGGGGGGGGGGGGGAGGAAGGCACAUGUGCUUUGCAGCCUUCCCCUCCCCCCACCACUCACCUGGAGGAGACCCCGAGGGGGCUUCCGGUCCGGUGGGAGACAGGAAUCUCUGCAGUGUGGACCUCACUCACCUGAGCAGCUGCUGGGGCUUCGGUCGAAUAUUGACCAUCAGACUAUAAAGCCCCAGCUCCUGCAGUCAAGUGGAUAUAUGACGAUUUCAGCCUUCAUUCUUAAAGAAAAUGGAACUUUCUAGCCCUCACGGCUGUGGAGAAAGCUUCAAAAAUGAGUCCCUAGUGCACCCUAAAGGCUCAAAAAGCAGAAGGUAACUACAAAGGUUACAAAGCCUCAUGAUUUUUAGUGAGCCUGACAGGAUUAUUCAACAUUUGGGGUUGGCAAUACUGUGUGCUCAAGAGCUCAGCUUAUUCAGGCUGGAUUGCUUCACCCACAUUACCCCAUAUCACCUGGGUGAGCAUCCAACUUCCUCUGUUCGAUGAAGGAGGUGUUACACCAUGGAUUUGAACUUGCUGAGCCUUUUACAUUUUAAGCAUUCAAUCUGCAGAAUUCCCCUGGGAAUAUAAAAAUGGUAGCUAAGAGACCUAAAAAAACACCCACCACCUUCUUCAGUAUAUAAAUAACUUAAAUGUCAAAGAAUGUUCAGUUGAGUAAAAACCAGUAAGUCUGGAAUAGCUUUUUGUCACAGAUUUGAUUUAGAAAGGGUUUCGGUCAUUAAAGGAUUUACCAAAAUGCAAUAA